rnacentral:rRNA from 1 species
CGAACGGGUGAGUAACGCGUGAGGAACCUGCCUCAAAGAGGGGGACAACAGUUGGAAACGACUGCUAAUACCGCAUAGGCCCACGGCUCGGCAUCGAGCAGAGGGAAAAGGAGCAAUCCGCUUUGAGAUGGCCUCGCGUCCGAUUAGCUAGUUGGUGAGGUAACGGCCCACCAAGGCGACGAUCGGUAGCCGGACUGAGAGGUUGAACGGCCACAUUGGGACUGAGACACGGCCCAG